GUGCUUAGCAAAUGAGGGAUUGCUUGAUAGAACAUCUUAAAAACAAAUAAAAAGCCCCGUCGCAAUAACAACCAUAACUAUAUUGGAGUCCACACUGAUAAUGUUUAUAGUUAUGAUGUGGGCGUUCCUGAUAUAUUCUAAUAAGAACGAAUAUUAAAACCUUUUAUUUAUGGUUAUCUUCCUAGGUGUGAAGGGGCCUUUAGUUCUGGUCGCGCAAUUUGCAUAAGCGGCAAUCCAUGCUGUACGUUCAUGUGUUCUUUCUGCAGGUCUACAUCAAUUAUACCAGUAGGUGGCGACAAGUCUUUCUGUCUUUAUGAGUGACUCAUUGAAUCAGUCACUCAACCGAUUCGCUCAAAGACAUUGAUUCAUUCAUGAACAAAACAAGUGACUGGCUGUAAAACUCGGAAUAACAUACUACUCUUAGAAUUUCAUGUCAUUUGUAAAAAUACGGCAGAAAAAAGUAGGAGUACGAUAGUAGAAUGCUAGUCGGAAUUCGGCCAAUGAUACAUUGAAUCAUUCACUGAACCGAUUCUUUCAAACACAUUGAUCCAAUCAUGAACGUCACUUACGUGUUUUAAAUUUGCACACAGCUGAUCUUGCUUCGCCUGGAAUCUUUAUUGGCUGAGAAACAGGCGAAAUAUUUGGUUUAAGUGUGGCUUAUUGUUUAUUCAACUGCUGUAUAAAAUCAAUUUCACAAUAGCACGCUAUUUGUGGUUUUUCUAACAGCAGGCCAGUGGUUAUCAGCAGCCUUUAUCUUGAUGCUCGGAAAACAGCACGAUUUCGAGUCUGAUACUGCUUGAAUUAAGAGACCACUGAAAAACAGAGAAAGUGCUUACCGGCAGUGGCCUGGCGGAGAUUUGUUUGGUGGGAAUCGGUUUUCACAGCUGCACGCGGUUUCUGCUGUGACUUCUGUUCUUCUGUGUUUCCGAAAUAAGGUCACUGCAAUAUCCAACUGUAUCAGGCGUCAGAUCACAUGAGCUUCAUUGUCUUCACUGCCAUCGGUACGAGUCAUUGCUUCGUUAUGCAUUUGCAGUUGAACCCAACUCAGUUCUCCCAAAUGGCUCAUUUGUUGUGGACUUGUGGUUCUUGCUUGUUGGGUAUGCAAAUUGCCAUUGUAUGAUUCAGAAUCUCUCAAGUGGCCUUGCUAAGA